rnacentral:rRNA from 1 species
CGAACGCUGGCGGCAGGCCUAACACAUGCAAGUCGAGCGCGCCCUCUCGAGGGCGAGCGGCGGACGGGUUAGUAACGCGUGGGAACGUGCCCAGAGGUGGGGAACAACUGCUGGAAACGGCAGCUAAUACCUCAUGAGCCCUACGGGGGAAAGAUUUAUCGCCUUUGGAUCGGCCCGCGUCGGAUUAGCUUGUUGGUGAGGUAACGGCUCACCAAGGCGACGAUCCGUAGCUGGUUUGAGAGGAUGAUCAGCAACACUGGGACUGAGACACGGCCCAGACUCCUACGGGAGGCAGCAGUGGGGAAUAUUGGACAAUGGGGGCAACCCUGAUCCAGCCAUGCCGCGUGCGUGAAGAAGGCCUUAGGGUUGUAAAGCGCUUUCACCGGUGACGAUGAUGACGGUAGCCGGAGAAGAAGCCCCGGCUAACUCCGUG